UACAGAGGUCCCAAGCGUUGUUCGGAUUCAUUGGGCGUAAAGGGUGCGUAGGCGGCGCGGUAAGUCGGGUGUGAAAUCUCGGAGCUUAACUCCGAAACUGCAUUCGAUACUGCCGUGCUUGAGGACUGGAGAGGAGACUGGAAUUUACGGUGUAGCGGUGAAAUGCGUAGAUAUCGUAAGGAAGACCAGUGGCGAAGGCGGGUCUCUGGACAGUUCCGUGACGCUGAGGAGCGAAAGCGUGGGGAGCGAACAGG
rnacentral:rRNA from 1 species